rnacentral:lncRNA from 1 species
CCACAUCAAUUAAUGAGGCUUGAUCAGACGCUCCUUCUUUUUUUGAAUUUCUUAUUUUCUGAUUUUACUUCUUUUAUUUCCAUUAUUUUCAAAAAUUCAUAUCUUCUUCAUUUUUAUUCCAAAAAAUAUGGGACCAAUUGCAUUCUUCCUCAAAUAAUUUCUAGUUUCUAAUUUUGAUUUUUAAUCUUUUUUAUUUUGUCAUUUGGUAUUUUUUGUGAAUUUUCUCUUUUCUGGUUAUUU